UCCCUCUUAGCUCAGUUGGUAGAGUGUGUCACUAGUAUGGGUGUUCGCAAUCGAAGAUAAUGACGAGGUCAGUCGUUCAAAUCGGCUAGCGGGAA